AAAUAAAUAAUAUUAAGUUGGUGCAAAAGUAAUUGCAGUUUUUGCCUUUGAAAGUAAUGGCAAAAACCACAAUUACUUUUGCAUCAGCC
ensembl:miRNA